UGCUGGUGGGAGUAUGAAAUGGUAGCAUUGGUUUGGAAAACUGGCAGUCUCUCCAUAAGUUACAUGGAUGUAUUCACAGAACAAAAAUUCACGUCAGUCUCACGUGCAUUUCUCAACAUGUUGUACUCCAACUAAAUCGUUGCUCUCCCUGAGGCCAUCUCUGCGUGCUCCCACCUACUGUUAGCUCCCAGGAUCCGCGUCAGUGCCAAGCCCCAGAUUCUCCGUUCCUUGCUCAAAGAGGUGUGUCAGAAACAGGCAAAGAUACUCAAAUGCUGACAAGACUUACGGAUGCUUUCAUACUACUAUAUGACCGGGACAAUCUUGGUAAAAUAAACACU